UUAGUGGCGGACGGGUGAGUAACGCGUGGGCAACCUGCCCCGUGCCGGGGGAUACCGCCUGGAAACAGGCGCUAAUACCGCAUAAGCGCAUACAGCCGCAUGGCAGUAUGCGGAAAGCUCCGGCGGCACGGGAUGGGCCCGCGCCCGAUUAGCCAGUUGGCGGGGUAACGGCCCACCAAAGCGACGAUCGGUAGCCGGCCUGAGAGGGCGGACGGCCACAUUGGGACUGAGACACGGCCCAAACUCCUACGGAAGGCAGCAG
rnacentral:rRNA from 1 species